rnacentral:rRNA from 1 species
GGGACACGUGGUAUCCUGUCUGAAUAUGGGGGGACCAUCCUCCAAGGCUAAAUACUCCUGACUGACCGAUAGUGAACCAGUACCGUGAGGGAAAGGCGAAAAGAACCCCGGCGAGGGGAGUGAAAAAGAACCUGAAACCGUGUACGUACAAGCAGUGGGAGCACGCUUAGGCGUGUGACUGCGUACCUUUUGUAUAAUGGGUCAGCGACUUAUAUUCUGUAGCAAGGUUAACCGAAUAGGGGAGCCGAAGGGAAACCGAGUCUUAACUGGGCGUUAAGUUGCAGGGUAUAGACCCGAAACCCGGUGAUCUAGCCAUGGGCAGGUUGAAGGUUGGGUAACACUAACUGGAGGACCGAACCGACUAAUGUUGAAAAAUUAGCGGAUGACUUGUGGCUGGGGGUGAAAGGCCAAUCAAACCGGGAGAUAGCUGGUUCUCCCCGAAAGCUAUUUAGGUAGCGCCUCGUGAAUUCAUCUCCGGGGGUAGAGCACUGUUUCGGCAAGGGGGUCAUCCCGACUUACCAACCCGAUGCAAACUGCGAAUACCGGAGAAUGUUAUCACGGGAGACACACGGCGGGUGCUAACGUCCGUCGUGAAGAGGGAAACAACCCAGACCGCCAGCUAAGGUCCCAAAGUCAUGGUUAAGUGGGAAACGAUGUGGGAAGGCCCAGACAGCCAGGAUGUUGGCUUAGAAGCAGCCAUCAUUUAAAGAAAGCGUAAUAGCUCACUGGUCGAGUCGGCCUGCGCGGAAGAUGUAACGGGGCUAAACCAUGCACCGAAGCUGCGGCAGCGACGCUUAUGCGUUGUUGGGUAGGGGAGCGUUCUGUAAGCCUGUGAAGGUGUACUGUGAGGUAUGCUGGAGGUAUCAGAAGUGCGAAUGCUGACAUAAGUAACGAUAAAGCGGGUGAAAAGCCCGCUCGCCGGAAGACCAAGGGUUCCUGUCCAACGUUAAUCGGGGCAGGGUGAGUCGACCCCUAAGGCGAGGCCGAAAGGCGUAGUCGAUGGGAAACAGGUUAAUAUUCCUGUACUUGGUGUUACUGCGAAGGGGGGACGGAGAAGGCUAUGUUGGCCGGGCGACGGUUGUCCCGGUUUAAGCGUGUAGGCUGGUUUUCCAGGCAAAUCCGGAAAAC